GAUGAACGCUGGCGGCGUGCCUAAUACAUGCAAGUCGAGCGAACGGACGAGAAGCUUGCUUCUCUGAUGUUAGCGGCGGACGGGUGAGUAACACGUGGAUAACCUACCUAUAAGACUGGGAUAACUUCGGGAAACCGGAGCUAAUACCGGAUAAUAUUUUGAACCGCAUGGUUCAAAAGUGAAAGACGGUCUUGCUGUCACUUAUAGAUGGAUCCGCGCUGCAUUAGCUAGUUGGUAAGGUAACGGCUUACCAAGGCAACGAUGCAUAGCCGACCUGAGAGGGUGGUCGGCCACACGGGAAGUGAGACACGGUCCAGACUCCGACGGGAGGCAGCAGUAGGGAAUCUUCCGCAAGGGGCGAGAGCCUGACGGAGCAACGCCGCGUGAGUGAUGAAGGUCUUCGGAUCGUAAAACGCUGUUAUUAGUGAAGAACAUAUGUGUAAGUAACUGUGCACAUCUUGACGGUACCUAAUCAGAAAGCCACGGCUAACUACGUG
rnacentral:rRNA from 1 species